rnacentral:rRNA from 1 species
AUUGAACGCUGGCGGCAGGCCUAACACAUGCAAGUCGAGCGGUAGCACAGAGAGCUUGCUCUCGGGUGACGAGCGGCGGACGGGUGAGUAAUGUCUGGGAAACUGCCUGAUGGAGGGGGAUAACUACUGGAAACGGUAGCUAAUACCGCAUAACGUCGCAAGACCAAAGAGGGGGACCUUCGGGCCUCUUGCCAUCAGAUGUGCCCAGAUGGGAUUAGCUAGUAGGUGGGGUAACGGCUCACCUAGGCGACGAUCCCUAGCUGGUCUGAGAGGAUGACCAGCCACACUGGAACUGAGACACGGUCCAGACUCCUACGGGAGGCAGCAGUGGGGAAUAUUGCACAAUGGGCGCAAGCCUGAUGCAGCCAUGCCGCGUGUAUGAAGAAGGCCUUCGGGUUGUAAAGUACUUUCAGCGGGGAGGAAGGUGUUGAGGUUAAUAACCUCAGCAAUUGACGUUACCCGCAGAAGAAGCACCGGCUAACUCCGUGCCAGCAGCCGCCGUAA